rnacentral:lncRNA from 1 species
AUGGUGCGUUCCAGUGUUGUCACGGCAAUACGCAGCUCUUUCACACAACGCGUUCUCAGGUUUACAGACGAGAUCACCGUUAGUGAUCUACAUACCUCUCUGGACAGGGUUAAGACUAGGAGUGCUAGCACCAACUGUCUGAACCCAGAAAGGAACCAUAGUGUUCCUUCACCAGAUCCCCAAAGCUGCUCCCAGUCUCUACCCCGCAGACGCCCCGCCAGCCCCAGGAUUCUAAUCCAACACGCCUCCCCAGAAGACGACAGGCAAACUCGGAGCCUGGACUCAUCCACCUGUCACACUCUGGGCAAGAAGCUCCCUGACAACGACAGGGGCCACCUCCAAGGUGGCGCGUCCUGUCCCCUCAGUGAUGUCCUCGCCAGCAGCUCGCAGGGCAACAACUCCCACAGGUCCCAGACAAGAGCAGCAGCCCGU